GGUUGUGUAGUGUAAUGGUUAUCACAUCGGAUUCUGAUUAGUCAACUUGACACGAUCCUUCCGGUAAUCUGAGUUCGAUUCUCAGCACGACCU